GAACAGGCUACGCCGGCUACUUCGGAGAACUAGCUGCUGGAUUAUUCUGUGUCCCCUCCCACUCUCCCGCCCCAAGUCUCUCUUCACCCUUCUCCCGCCCUUGCUCGUGCAGCCAUGGCGGAGUCAUCGGCGGCCACUCAGUCUCCGUCAGUCUCCUCGUCGUCCUCCGGGGCCGAGCCGUCAACGCUUGGCGGCGGCGGCGGGAGCCCUGGAGCCUGCCCCGCCCUGGGGGCGAAGAGCUGCGGCUCCUCCUGUGCGGAUUCCUUUGUUUCUUCCUCUUCCUCUCAGCCUGUAUCUAUAUUUUCGACCUCACAAGUGGGAUUGAGCUCUCUUUGCUCUGAUGAGCCACCAUCAAAAAUUAUGACUUCCUCCUUUCUUUCAUCUUCUGAAAUAUAUAACCCUGACCCUACAACACCACUUGGAAGUGAAACAUUAGGCAGCCAUCUUGUAGCUAAAGACGGAAAAGAUCCCUUGGUUCUUCUAGAUAAGAAAACUCUGGACUCACCUCAGGGGACCAACAAGGACAGAGUAGACACUCCGGUUUCUCUUGCAGCUGACAUUCCUUGCAGCCACCCUUCUAUUCCAGACAGUUUCCCAGAACAACCUACUUUUCUUUCAAAGGAAACUGAUCCAACAGAAGAGUGGGUAGUUAAAAACCAAGAACCCAAGAACCCAAGUGAAGUUCCAAGUGGAGAGGACAGAAGUGCACUGGAUCUUGGGCAGCGUAAGGCAGAACACAUUUGUACACAUUCCUUGUCUCCAUCUGAACCUGCAGUAGCCAGUGUAGAAAAAGAUUCUCCUGAGUCACCAUUUGAAGUAAUUAUUGACAAAGCAACAUUUGACAGAGAAUUUAAAGAUUUGUAUAAGGAAAGCACAGAUGAUUUGGGUGGCUGGGCAGCUCACGGUGACAGAGAAUCCCCAGCAGAUUUAUUGGAAAUGAAUGACAAAGUGUUUCCACUGAGAAAUAAAGAGGCAGGGCGUUACCCAUCCUCUGCACUGCUCGGUAGACAAUUCUCACACACUACAGCAGCACUGGAAGAAGUGUCUAGAUGUGUGAAUGAUAUGCAUAACUUUACUAAUGAAAUACUGACUUGGGACUUAGAUCCCCAAGCAAAACAACAGGCGGACAAAUCACCUUGCACCACAGAAAGUACAGGACUAGACAGGAGUGAACAUCGCUCAGAAAUUCCAGUUAUAAAUCUUAAAACAAGCCCUCAACAGAAAAUGCCUGUAUGUUCUUUUAAUGGGAGCACUCCCAUUACUAGAUCCACAGGUGACUGGACAGAAACAUUUACAGAAGGAAAACCUGUAAAAGGCUACCUCAGCUCCACAAAAGAAGCUGGUGGCAAAGGUGUACCAGACAGUUCUCAGCCUAUCUCAGGCUCUGGAGCAGCCACAGUGGAAGUGACUUUACCUGACCUGAGGGGUACCUGGCCUAACUCUGUGCUAGGGGAAGUCACAGAGGUUGAUAGUUCUGGGGAAUCUGAUGACACAGUAAUAGAGGACACCACAGAAAAUCCCUCAGUUAAGAACAACAAAGUUUUGCCAGAAAAAUCUGACUCCCUUCCAAGUGCUGCUGUAAAAACAAGUGAAAGGGAAAACAAAGAGACUACCAG
rnacentral:lncRNA from 1 species